CGCAGCCUAAAAAAUAUUAAGAUACUUUAACGAAACAAUCUAUAAAUUAUUUAGCUUGACUUACCAAUAUUGUCAGGUGACAAUAUCUUGGAAUGAUAAUAUCCACCGUUAGUGAUUGCGAAUAGCGAAAGAAGAAGUAAAACUGCGGUCUGUAUAGUUAAAAAAAUAUUACCUCGAACGAAGAGUGACCGUGUUUGAAGACCGAACCAGGUGAAGUAACAGGUUCUCAAUGAAUGUGGAGAUGAGCGUGAGUUUGAAUACGAGGAAAACCCCACCUCCUACAACCUUCAGUCCCAGUUUGAAUUUUGCCUACGCGUGCCCCUGACGAUCCUUCGAUGGGUCUCGCCUACGCUAGACCACUUCCAAUGUAAAUUACUUCAGAAGAUCAUCUUUUUCUUCGAGUAAGCAAAGAAACACUCCGAAAAAUAUUAUUUCAAGUUCAUCCAACAUAAUCGGGAGCUAUUUACUUUGCUAAUUAACGAGGUGCAAGAAAAACAAUCAGCAACGACUCCAUCUUUAUCCUAAUAAAAAUGACAUAUUUCCUUUUUAUUUUUAUUGGUACAUGAUAUAUCUCGUUACAAAAUUUUCUUCUAAUCAAAUAUAAAUAUAUCGAUCGUAUAAAUUAAUAAAUAACAUCCUAACAAAUUGCGGUAGAGUUCGAUGCUUUAAUUACAUAAUAAAUCAACUAUUCUUUUUUUAAUAGAUCGACUUUCAUUGGUCGGAAUGUAGACUCAAUGACGGGAUAAAUAUAUUCGAAAAAAGCACCGUGUUACAGAUUAAAUACAGAGAGCGUGAGUAAUCGCACUGCAAAUCUACUGUUCGAUGGGCAAUCAUCCUUUCGCGCCAAAAAUGGACCUGCCAGUGUCGAUGGUUCCACGUGCACAUUACGAUCAUCGACGCAAAGGUCGUUAUAUGCGUAAUCGUUUUAAAAAAUCAGAUUAAAAAAUCGAACUCUCAAAGGUCGUCGAAUUAAAAAUCACUCGUAAGUUAUAAAACUGUAUUAUGCAAACAAGGAAAGACUAUAAACAUAUCUGCCCAAUUAUGAUACCUGCAAGAAAAUUAGUUAGAUACCAAAAUUCUCUUAAUAAUAAUCGUAAUAGACUCUCAAAAUGAUGAAGACAAUGAUUAAUAUUUUACCUUAUUUGUUUGGCUGAUUUAUUACAAUAAUUUAAAUAACUUAAUAAUAAACUUGUAUAUCAUAGACAAAUAGAUUAUACCGUCUUUCGUCCUAGGAACAAACUUUUGCAAUAUUCAUUGCUAAAUUUAAGAAACUGUGUGCACGAUUAUAAAUGUGAUACAUGAGUUUAAAAAAAA